rnacentral:misc_RNA from 1 species
GAUGAAGAACGUAGCGAAAUGCGAUAAGUAAUGUGAAUUGCAGAAUUCAGUGAAUCAUCGAAUCUUUGAACGCACCUUGCACCCUUUGGCUAUUCCGAAGGGUAUGCCUGUUUGAGUAUCAUGAACACCUCAACUCUCAUGGUUUGCCAUGAUGAGCUUGGACUUUGGGGGUCUUGCUGGCCUGUGGUCAGCUCCUCUCAAAUGGAUUAGCUUGCCAGUGUUUGGUGGCAUCACAGGUGUGAUAACUAUCUACGCUUGUGGUUUUCCACCAGGUAACCUUCAGCAACGGGGGUUCGCUGGGGCUCAUAAAUGUCUCUCCUCAGCGAGGACAGCUCUUUGAACGUUUGAUCUCAAAUCAGGUAGGACUACCCGCUGAACUUAAGCAUAUCAAUAAGCGGAGGA